rnacentral:tRNA from 1 species
GCAACAGUAAUGUAAUGGUAUCAUACCUUCCUUCCAAGUAGGUAAUCUGAGUUCAAUUCUCAGCUGUUGCA